rnacentral:rRNA from 1 species
GAUGAACGCUGGCGGCGUGCCUAAUACAUGCAAGUCGAGCGAACAGAUGAGGAGCUUGCUCCUCUGACGUUAGCGGCGGACGGGUGAGUAACACGUGGAUAACCUACCUAUAAGACUGGGAUAACUUCGGGAAACCGGAGCUAAUACCGGAUAAUAUAUUGAACCGCAUGGUUCAAUAGUGAAAGACGGUUUUGCUGUCACUUAUAGAUGGAUCCGCGCCGCAUUAGCUAGUUGGUAAGGUAACGGCUUACCAAGGCAACGAUGCGUAGCCGACCUGAGAGGGUGGUCGGCCACACUGGAACUGAGACACGGUCCAGACUCCUACGGGAGGCAGCAGUAGGGAAUCUUCCGCAAUGGGCGAAAGCCUGACGGAGUAACGCCGCGUGAGUGAUGAAGGUCUUCGGAUCGUAAAACUCUGUUAUUAGGGAAGAACAAAUGUGUAAGUAACUAUGCACGUCUUGACGGUACCUAAUCAGAAAGCCACGGCUAACUACGUG